CUACGGGAUGCAGCAGUGGGGAAUAUUGCACAAUGGGCGCAAGCCUGAUGCAGCCAUGCCGCGUGUAUGAAGAAGGCCUUCGGGUUGUAAAGUACUUUCAGCGGGGAGGAAGGGAGUAAAGUUAAUACCUUUGCUCAUUGACGUUACCCGCAGAAGAAGCACCGGCUAACUCCGUGCCAGCAGCCGCGGUAAUACGGAGGGUGCAAGCGUUAAUCGGAAUUACUGGGCGUAAAGCGCACGCAGGCGGUUUGUUAAGUCAGAUGUGAAAUCCCCGGGCUCUACCUGGGAACUGCAUCUGAUACUGGCAAGCUUGAGUCUCGUAGAGGGGGGUAGAAUUCCAGGUGUAGCGGUGAAAUGCGUAGAGAUCUGGAGGAAUACCGGUGGCGAAGGCGGCCCCCUGGGUGAAGACUGACGCUCAGGUGCGAAAGCGUGGGGAGCAAACAGGAUUAGAUACCCGGGUAGUC
rnacentral:rRNA from 1 species